rnacentral:rRNA from 1 species
GAUGAACGCUAGCGGCAGGCCUAAUACAUGCAAGUCGAACGGUAGAUCGGGUAGCAAUACUUGAUUGAGAGUGACGUAAGGGUGCGUAACACGUAUGCAAUCUACCCUCAACAGGAGUAUAGCUCGGGGAAACUCGGAUUAACACUCCAUAACAUUACGAUGUGGCAUCACAUUGUGAUUAAAACUCCGGUGGUUGAGGAUGGGCAUGCGUCUGAUUAGUUAGUUGGAGGUGUAACGGACCCCCAAGACGAUGAUCAGUAGGGGAACUGAGAGGUUGAUCCCCCACACUGGCACUGAGAUACGGGCCAGACUCCUACGGGAGGCAGCAGUAGGGAAUAUUGGUCAAUGGGUGAGAGCCUGAACCAGCCAUGCCGCGUGCAGGAGACGGCCUUCUGGUUGUAAACUGCUUUUAUCUGGGAUAAAAAGCCCAUGCGUGGGACAUUGAAGGUACCAGAUGAAUAAGCACCGGCUAACUACGU